CUACCGUGACUUCAGGGAACAAACCAAGUUACGUAGAGUUUGAUCAUGGCUCAGGACGAACGCUGGCGGCGUGCUUAACACAUGCAAGUCGAACGGAAAGGCCCUGCUUUUGUGGGGUGCUCGAGUGGCGAACGGGUGAGUAACACGUGAGUAACCUGCCCUUGACUUUGGGAUAACUUCAGGAAACUGGGGCUAAUACCGGAUAGGAGCUCCUGCUGCAUGGUGGGGGUUGGAAAGUUUCGGCGGUUGGGGAUGGACUCGCGGCUUAUCAGCUUGUUGGUGGGGUAGUGGCUUACCAAGGCUUUGACGGGUAGCCGGCCUGAGAGGGUGACCGGCCACAUUGGGACUGAGAUACGGCCCAGACUCCUACGGGAGGCAGCAGUGGGGAAUAUUGCACAAUGGGCGGAAGCCUGAUGCAGCAACGCCGCGUGCGGGAUGACGGCCUUCGGGUUGUAAACCGCUUUCGCCUGUGACGAAGCGUGAGUGACGGUAAUGGGUAAAGAAGCACCGGCUAACUACGUGCCAGCAGCCGCGGUGAUACGUAGGGUGCGAGCGUUGUCCGGAUUUAUUGGGCGUAAAGGGCUCGUAGGUGGUUGAUCGCGUCGGAAGUGUAAUCUUGGGGCUUAACCCUGAGCGUGCUUUCGAUACGGGUUGACUUGAGGAAGGUAGGGGAGAAUGGAAUUCCUGGUGGAGCGGUGGAAUGCGCAGAUAUCAGGAGGAACACCAGUGGCGAAGGCGGUUCUCUGGGCCUUUCCUGACGCUGAGGAGCGAAAGCGUGGGGAGCGAACAGGCUUAGAUACCCUGGUAGUCCACGCUGUAAACGGUGGGUACUAGGUGUGGGGUCCAUUCCACGGGUUCCGUGCCGUAGCUAACGCUUUAAGUACCCCGCCUGGGGAGUACGGCCGCAAGGCUAAAACUCAAAGGAAUUGACGGGGCCCCGCACAAGCGGCGGAGCAUGCGGAUUAAUUCGAUGCAACGCGUAGAACCUUACCUGGGUUUGACAUGGAUCGGGAGCGCUCAGAGAUGGGUGUGCCUCUUUUGGGGUCGGUUCACAGGUGGUGCAUGGCUGUCGUCAGCUCGUGUCGUGAGAUGUUGGGUUAAGUCCCGCAACGAGCGCAACCCUUGUUCACUGUUGCCAGCACGUUAUGGUGGGGACUCAGUGGAGACCGCCGGGGUCAACUCGGAGGAAGGUGGGGAUGACGUCAAGUCAUCAUGCCCCUUAUGUCCAGGGCUUCACGCAUGCUACAAUGGCUGGUACAGAGAGUGGCGAGCCUGUGAGGGUGAGCGAAUCUCGGAAAGCCGGUCUCAGUUCGGAUUGGGGUCUGCAACUCGACCUCAUGAAGUCGGAGUCGCUAGUAAUCGCAGAUCAGCAACGCUGCGGUGAAUACGUUCCCGGGGCUUGUACACACCGCCCGUCAAGUCAUGAAAGUUGGUAACACCCGAAGCCGGUGGCCUAACCGUUGUGGGGGAGCCGUCGAAGGUGGGACUGGUGAUUAGGACUAAGUCGUAACAAGGUAACCGACGUAACUUGGUUUGUUCCCUGAAGUCACGGU
rnacentral:rRNA from 1 species